GACAUUGCACCCUCAGUGUGCUAUCUGCAAGAGUGCUUCUGAAGCUUACUUAUUACUCAUGUGUUGAUCUCAAUGGACAUUUCAUUUUGCAGCAGACUACCUUAGAACAGAUGUUCUGCAAAGGAACUAGGAACUGUUUCAGAGAAGCACAGAAAUCCAAAGCCAGAAGAGAAUAACCCAAUAUUCUGACAUUUUGAAGUUGUUAAGAAAAGCAAGAUAUUUGAAAGAUUGGAACUAAAACAUCUGGUACUGGUAAUACAUCAGAGGCCUGAAGUUCAAGUUACGUUAUAUUGGAAGAAAUUGUGAGAUCCAAGACUGAUGAGAAGAGUGGGAGCCACUGCACUCCACUAAGCAGAACUUUCCUUAGCUCACAGGUUCUUGGGGAAACAUGAAACUCUUGGUGUCUCUUCUUCUGCAUGGCUUUCUACAGAGGCUGAUCCUUCUAUCCAGAAAGUAUUUCCACCAUUUAUUCACAGAGAUAACACUGCCAUUUUGCUCUGGAUUUGGCUCAGCAGUCACCUCUUCAGAGAGACCAAUUCUGAACACUCCAUAUAAUAAAGUCACCAAUCAGUGUUUAUUUCUUUAAGGGUUUCUUGUACCAUCACUACUAACUACCCCAAAUUUUCUAUUGUAUUUGCUUGUUUUAAUUCUUUUGUAUUUUAACUUGUUUGUUGUGUACCUCCCUACAUAAAAUGUGAACUCUGCAAGGAGAGGGAAUUCUUUUGCCCGACUACAUCUCCAGCACCUGCGAGAAAGGAUUGUGUGAAUUUAGUGUGUAUGGAUAUUUGCUGUUCUAUACUAAAAUUUGUAUCUUUUAGUCUAUUCAAAACUCAAAUAAAGGCAAAUAGGAUUUAAGCAUUUAUUAUUUACUUAAAGGGUUUUUAAAAACAUAACUCUAUCCUAUAUUAAACUCCUGAAUUAAUAAGGAAAUUUGCAAUUAUUUAAUUAUUUUUGUCUAAAAAAAGGAUUGAUAUUUU